rnacentral:rRNA from 1 species
UACGUAGGGGGCAAGCGUUGUCCGGAUUUAUUGGGCGUAAAGAGCGUGUAGGCGGUCAGGUAGGUCCGUUGUGAAAACUCGAGGCUCAACCUCGAGACGCCGAUGGAAACCAUCUGACUAGAGUCCGGAAGAGGAGAGUGGAAUUCCUGGUGUAGCGGUGAAAUGCGCAGAUAUCAGGAAGAACACCCGUGGCUAAGGCGGCUCUCUGGAACGCAACUGACGCUGAGACGCGAAAGCGUGGGGAGCAAACAGG